rnacentral:rRNA from 1 species
UACGUAGGGGGCAAGCGUUGUCCGGAUUUAUUGGGCGUAAAGAGCGUGUAGGCGGCUUUACAGGUCCGUUGUGAAAACUCGAGGCUCAACCUCGAGACGCCGGUGGAAACCGUAAGGCUAGAGUCCGGAAGAGGAGAGUGGAAUUCCUGGUGUAGCGGUGAAAUGCGCAGAUAUCAGGAGGAACACCGGUGGCGAAGGCGGUUCUCUGGGCCUGUACUGACGCUGAGGAACGAAAGCGUGGGGAGCGAACAGG